UACGUAGGGUGCAAGCGUUGUUCGGAAUUACUGGGCGUAAAGGGCUGGUAGGCGGCCAACUAAGUCGGAUGUGAAAUCCCCAGGCUUAACCUGGGAACUGCAUCCGAUACUGGUCGGCUUGAAUCCGGGAGAGGGAUGCAGAAUUCCAGGUGUAGCGGUGAAAUGCGUAGAUAUCUGGAGGAAUACCGGUGGCGAAGGCGGCAUCCUGGACCGGCAUUGACGCUGAACAGCGAAAGCUAGGGGAGCAAACGGG
rnacentral:rRNA from 1 species